rnacentral:tRNA from 1 species
GGGGAUGUAGCUCAAUAGGGAGAGCACCGCCCUUGCACGGCGGGGGUCGGGGGUUCGAGUCCCCCCAUCUCCA